rnacentral:rRNA from 1 species
UACAGAGGUGGCAAGCGUUGUUCGGAAUUACCGGGCGUAAAGGGCGCGUAGGCGGCCUUCUAAGUCAGACGUGAAAUCCCCCGGCUUAACCUGGGAACUGCGUCUGAUACUGGAGGGCUUGAGUGCGGGAGAGGGAUGUGGAAUUCCAGGUGUAGCGGUGAAAUGCGUAGAUAUCUGGAGGAGCACCGGUGGCGAAGGCGGCAUCCUGGACCGGCAUUGACGCUGAUGAGCGAAAGCUAGGGGAGCAAACGGG